UGGAACGUAGCUAAAAUCUAAAGCACCUCCCUUACACCGAGAAGACGCCCGUGAAAACCAGGCCGCUCCAA
rnacentral:tRNA from 1 species